rnacentral:rRNA from 1 species
GCCCUUACUUUAGCCCUAAUUAAUCAAAUGAACUUCACUCUCUUAUUUCCCUUAUCUAAAUCAUUUAUAAAACUUAGUAAAGGCGAUUGAAAAUUUCUUUAGAGCUAUAAACAUAGUACCGUAAGGGAAAGAUGAAAUAUUAAUGAAAUAUGUUCAAGCACAAAAUAGUAAAGUUUUAUUCCUGUACCUUUUGCAUUAUGGUUUAACGAGUCUAACCGAGCACAAAGAUUUUUAGUUCGACUUCCCGAAACUAAGUGAGCUACUCAAGGGCAGCUUUAUGAGCAAACUCGUCUCUGUGGCAAAAGAGUGAGAAGACCUUUUAGUAGGGGUGACAGACCUACCGAACUUAGUGAUAGCUGGUUGCUCAAGAAAAGGAUUUUAGUUCAGCCUAAAUUUAUAUUAAUACUGCUUUAUGAACUUAUAAAUUUAGAGUAAUUCAAAUAAGGUACAGCCUAUUUGAAUCAGGAUACAACCUUAUCUAAUGGGUUAAGUCAUUUACCAAUAAUUAAGUGGGCCUAAAAGCAGCCAUCUUUAAAAUAGCGUCAAAGCUUUCUUAUACAAACUUUAAAAUUUCACCAAGAAACCUAACCCCUUAACUAGUAUUGAGCAAUUCUAUAAUUUUAUAGAAAGUUUUAUGUUAAAACUAGUAACAAGAGUUUGACACUCUCUUAGACGCAAGCAUAAGUCAGAAUCGGACCAAACACUGACAAUUAACGUAUGUAAUAACCUUAGCAUUAACACAACAAGAAAAACAUUCUUAACCCUACGUUAACCUAACGCUAGAGCAUCACAAGAAAGAUUAAAAGAAAAAGAAGGAACUCGGCAAAAAUUAACCCCGCCUGUUUACCAAAAACAUCGCCUCUUGAGUAAAUAUAAGAGGUCCAGCCUGCCCAGUGACAUUGUUCAACGGCCGCGGUAUCCUAACCGUGCGAAGGUAGCGUAAUCACUUGUUCUUUAAAUAAGGACUAGUAUGAAUGGCAUCACGAAGGUUACACUGUCUCCUUUUUCUAAUCAGUGAAACUAAUCUCCCCGUGAAGAAGCGGGGAUAGAAAUAUAAGACGAGAAGACCCUAUGGAGCUUUAAACUAGAUAACAUUUACUUCUCUCUAUUUAUAACUUUAGAGCCAUCACAUAUACCUAAGUAAAAUGAUUAUAAGUUUUGGGUUGGGGUGACCUUGGAGUAAAAUAUAACCUCCAUGUCGAAAAAUUACAACAAUUUUAACCAAGAGUUACAACUCUAAGUAUCAAUAUCUUGACGUCAAUUGACCCAAUAUUUGAUCAACGAACCAAGUUACCCUAGGGAUAACAGCGCAAUCCACUUCAAGAGCUCCUAUCGACAAGUGGGUUUACGACCUCGAUGUUGGAUCAGGGUAUCCCAGUGGUGCAGCCGCUACUAACGGUUCGUUUGUUCAACGAUUAAAACCCU